ACUGUUCAUUCGAGGCCGAAGUAAAUGACUCUUUUGCCCUUCCAUUUUCUUUUAAUCACCGGCUGCCAUCCUUCCAUAAUCUUCUAUACGUUUCUUCUAUGGUGCAUUUGCUCAGUUACGGGUGUUCUUAUUUUGAGAGCCGUCUCAAAAAGAAAUACUGGAAAUGCGACGACGAUCGACAAAGACCCAAUAGAGGAGAUCUUGGGUUCUCGGAAUUGGAGGAAGAGGAGAAAAGGGUUGUUAUAGGAGGUGUUUCUUGGUUGAUGCCAUAUAUUAGGAACAGUCUGCAAUCAAAAUUUGGAAGUGUUUUGAACUCAGGUACGUAUGUAAAGAGUUGUGCUUAGUGUUACUGGAUCAGUUUAUUUAUAGAAUUGUCAGUAUUGAUGUUCAUGUUGAUAAGGUUGGUUUUAUUAUUUUAUACUUGAUUGUGAAUAGGUUAUUUUAGUAAUAUGGUGUCUUUAUGAUCAAGCUGAUUGGUAAAUUAUCAUGAGUGAGCAUGAUGAUCUAAAAUUUUAAUUGGAUUAUCGAGUUUUCUAACGUUUCGAAUGAUAUAUGUCAGUUCAAAUUAACUCUAUCGAUUUCUUCAGUGCAAUUUAUUGGGAACUAAGCUGUGAUUAUUUUGAGUUCACAACAACAGAUAUUUGUAAUUCAUUUUAUUAGGAGCAAAAAAAAUGAAUUAGGAGCAAAACAUUUCAGUUUGAAUUUUAAAUUCCUUUUGUGGUUCCCCAGUUUCAGAUUUCAUGUACUUUACAAGCUUGAUAAUUGAUACCUGAAGUCACCAACUGAUGUGAAUGAGAAAUUAUGCUGAUUAUGGGGUUUCACUGAUUUUGAAAUCAAUUAGACACCUUACAAAUGUGUUUUCAAAGGCGAUGCCGAGGCGAGCCCGGGGCGCGCUCCGGUGUGAGGCGACGGUAAAUCGCCUUGCCAGUCCAAACUAAGACGCGCUACUGGAAAAGCGUACGGAAAAGCGAUGGGGCGCCUGUUUUUGCAGAAGGCGAGCUGUGAUGCGGCCUGGGCGCAAGGAAGAAGGUGAAGUCGUGGGUCCCUUUUUUUUUCCUUUCAUCUUUUGCAUCAAAACGACGUGGGUUUGAGUUAAUUGCUCAAGUAUAUUGCUUUAAACGACCUCCUUUAUACGACGUCGUCUUUGGCAAUUAAUUAAAGCAACAAAACGACGUCUUUUAUAACCUCAUUUUACCUCCUUUUCUUUCUAUUUAAUAAUCAUUAUCUAUUAUUCAGCCAGCAAGGUCAUUUGGAAUUAAUUUACUAAAGUUUCUUGUAACCAAUAUAGACGUUUUUAUACAUCAGCAAUAGAACUGAUAGAACUUAUAUUGCUAGUAGUACCAUGAUAGUUGCAGAUACCACUUGAAUAUUUGAAAAUAUAUUAUUUUUAUGGAUUUCUUUCUUUGUUUUAACCUAAAUAUUUUCUUAUAUUGUCUAUAAUUAUAAUGUUGUUGAAGGAAUAUCGAUUUAGUGUGCCUUAUCAAACUAGGAGUAGCAAUAGGAGAGAAGGUUCUAGAUUUCCCAAUCCUACACGGAUUGGUAUUCCUUGUAACAUUAGAACUAGUACUUUGUAAUCCCUAUAUAUAGGGCUCCUAUUCUCAAUAAUAUGAUUACAAUUCUCUCUACAAUUUCUCUCAAAUCUCUUUUUCCUUAAACACGUUAUCAGCACGACUCUAACCACAAACCAAAAACCAAAAACCCAAAAAUCUUCUUCAUCACCGCAGCUCCUAGCCCACGUUAGACUCCCCUACGCGCCCCUGCGCACACAUCCUUGCUGCCCCUGCACACCGCCGCACGUCUGCUGCCCCUGCAGCACCAACGCACAACCCCUGCAUCCUUUUUUCCGUUUCUGUGCACCUCCGUCUGCUUGCAAGCCCUGAAACGUCUAUUUCAGAACCUCAGAUAAAAAUCCUUUCUUCAUCAAAGUUGUUCGUCUCUGUCUCUUCCAUCUGACCUCCGAAUUUCAGCCUUAUCGGAGUUGUUUUGAGACCGGUACACCAAUCGAAGUGCAAGCUGUUCAGAAGAGAAUCUGUUCCGAAUUUCAACAAGAUGUAAGACUUGAACGAGCUCGAUUUUACUCCAUUGGAUUCUACGGGCACGGGAUAUUUAUUUGCCUACAAUCCAAGAGCCCUGUUCUAAAGGAACCGCUCAAGACUCACAAACUGAGAUAGAAAAUUCCAGGGCAUUUACCCUGAUGAAGCGCCACAUGAAGAUGACCCUCCAGUUUGAGUACAUGAAUGAGGAUAAUGCUAACAACCUUUGGGUUGCGCCUAGUGAACGUUUUAGUAACAUUCACAACUUUCCGAACAUAGAAGCACGAUGGAAUAAUAUCUGCUUCACUAUAACUUUGAAAGAGUUAUGAAAUAUUGUUCGGAGGCUCUCUGCAUCAUAUUAUUUAUGCAUGCUUGUGGAAAAACACAAAAUAACAAAUUGAUUGAGAAAACCCUAACAUGACCAUAGGAGUCACGACGUUGAGGGUAUAGGGUUGGACACCAUGGCGCCAUUUUUAGCCAUGAUUGCACUAUUCCAACGCCAUUGGUUCUAGGGACCAUAUGUAUUGUGUCAAUACACCUCAAUCAAGAGAGCAUCCUCUUCAUGGUAUUUUAUGGAGUACCUGAUCAAUGGUAAUAUAUCGAGCUAUAAAAGACUUUAAAUCUGGCGAUGAAGAUAGAAUGCCGCAGAUUUUUAUUUAGAAUAGUCUUUUAAUUUCCAAGAAUUAUGUAAUGGCAAUUAUGCCUUAAUCAAUAAAAUGACUUAUUGGAUUAUCUCUUUUCCUCUAGGCGUACUCAAUUAAGUAUGAUGUCUAGGAAAGUAAUUGAGAUUAGUGGUACUUAAGAGAGCUUUGCUCCACCGACAUCUCUCUCUACUUCCCUGGUCAUAUUUAAUUGGAAUUACCGAACGAAUUGAGUGACUACAAUUUGUCUAAUGUUUGAUUUUACUUUGGAUUAGAUUAUGGUCACGAAACUUUGAUGUAAUCAUUGGCUAUUAUUAAUAAAGUAUCGAUUUAUUUUAUCUCAUGUCAUGGACAUAUUUUUCGAACUUUAUUACUUCAAAGAUAUAAGAGCCAAUGGUUUUCAUGUGGAAACAC